rnacentral:rRNA from 1 species
CAUUGGCCGCAUGCGGCGUGCUAUACAUGCAAGUCGAACGCUUCUUUUCCCACCGGAGCUUGCUCCACCGGGAAAAGAGGAGUGGCGAACGGGUGAGUAACACGUGGGUAACCUGCCCAUCAGAAGGGGAUAACACUUGGAAACAGGUGCUAAUACCGUAUAACAAUCGAAACCGCAUGGUUUCGUUUUGAAAGGCGCUUUACGGUGCCGCUGAUGGAUGGACCCGCGGUGCAUUAGCUAGUUGGUGAGGUAACGGCUCACCAAGGCCACGAUGCAUAGCCGACCUGAGAGGGUGAUCGGCCACAUUGGGACUGAGACACGGCCCAAACUCCUACGGGAGGCAGCAGUAGGGAAUCUUCGGCAAUGGACGAAAGUCUGACCGAGCAACGCCGCGUGAGUGAAGAAGGUUUUCGGAUCGUAAAACUCUGUUGUUAGAGAAGAACAAGGGUGAGAGUAACUGUUCACCCCUUGACGGUAUCUAACCAGAAAGCCACGGCUAACUACGUGCCAGCAGCCGCGGUAAUACGUAGGUGGCAAGCGUUGUCCGGAUUUAUUGGGCGUAAAGCGAGCGCAGGCGGUUUCUUAAGUCUGAUGUGAAAGCCCCCGGCUCAACCGGGGAGGGUCAUUGGAAACUGGGAGACUUGAGUGCAGAAGAGGAGAGUGGAAUUCCAUGUGUAGCGGUGAAAUGCGUAGAUAUAUGGAGGAACACCAGUGGCGAAGGCGGCUCUCUGGUCUGUAACUGACGCUGAGGCUCGAAAGCGUGGGGAGCAAACAGGAUUAGAUACCCUGGUAGUCCACGCCGUAAACGAUGAGUGCUAAGUGUUGGAGGGUUUCCGCCCUUCAGUGCUGCAGCUAACGCAUUAAGCACUCCGCCUGGGGAGUACGACCGCAAGGUUGAAACUCAAAGGAAUUGACGGGGGCCCGCACAAGCGGUGGAGCAUGUGGUUUAAUUCGAAGCAACGCGAAGAACCUUACCAGGUCUUGACAUCCUUUGACCACUCUAGAGAUAGAGCUUCCCCUUCGGGGGCAAAGUGACAGGUGGUGCAUGGUUGUCGUCAGCUCGUGUCGUGAGAUGUUGGGUUAAGUCCCGCAACGAGCGCAACCCUUAUUGUUAGUUGCCAUCAUUUAGUUGGGCACUCUAGCAAGACUGCCGGUGACAAACCGGAGGAAGGUGGGGAUGACGUCAAAUCAUCAUGCCCCUUAUGACCUGGGCUACACACGUGCUACAAUGGGAAGUACAACGAGUCGCGAAGUCGCGAGGCUAAGCUAAUCUCUUAAAGCUUCUCUCAGUUCGGAUUGUAGGCUGCAACUCGCCUACAUGAAGCCGGAAUCGCUAGUAAUCGCGGAUCAGCACGCCGCGGUGAAUACGUUCCCGGGCCUUGUACACACCGCCCGUCACACCACGAGAGUUUGUAACACCCGAAGUCGGUGAGGUAACCUUUUGGAGCCAGCCGCCUAA